CAGUAGCCGCGGGAAUACAGAGGGUGCGAGCGUUAAUCGGAUUUACUGGGCGUAAAGCGUGCGUAGGCGGCUUCUUAAGUCGGAUGUGAAAUCCCUGAGCUUAACUUAGGAAUUGCAUUCGAUACUGGGAAGCUAGAGUAUGGGAGAGGAUGGUAGAAUUCCAGGUGUAGCGGUGAAAUGCGUAGAUAUGCGGAGGAACACCGAUGGCGAAAGCACUCUGCUGGGCCGACACUGACACUGAGAGACGAAAGCUAGGGGAGCAAAUGGGAUUAGAUACCCCCGUAGUCCCUGUCUCUUAUAC
rnacentral:rRNA from 1 species